GGCAGCGGGAGCCCGGCCCCCGUGCCCCUCGCGGGGCAUGAGGAAAGUCCCCCCACCGUCCGGGCAGGUGACCGGGCGCAAGCCCGGGGCGGGAGACCGCCGGCACUGGAACAGAAACGACACCGCACUCCGCGACCAAUGACGUGCGCGACGCCCGACUGACGAAGGCGACGCCGGCCGCCGCCCAAAGGCGGCCGCGCCGGACCGCCGAGAAAGGAACGGCAAGCUAACCCACAGAGGGUGCGUCCCGGCUUCGCCGGAACGUGGCGGACGGGCCACUGGCCCGCCCGUCGACCGGAGUGAACGGAUGGAACGGCGAAUCCUCACCGGUGCAAGUCCGUCCCGUAUGGUAGCCCGGACACGGGACGGACGCCCAGCCGAAUGCCGGGCCGAACAGAAGGGGGCUUACUCCCCGCAGCC
rnacentral:RNase_P_RNA from 1 species